GCGACUAAGCAGAGAACUCCUGGCUUGCUGCAGCCAGGCUCAGGCACAUCGCAACCAGGGCUCUCUUGGGCAGAGGGCUGCAGGCGAGCUGCUGAUGACACGCCUCAGAUGGGGAAGUAUUUUGCUUCGCUCCAGAGAGCAGGGGGGCAGGGCUGCAGGGCUGGCACUGUGCCACGGCCAGCCUUUCGGUUUCGUUUCUUGCAGACCGGUGGGUGUGUCUGUCGGUUGUGCAGCCAUGGCGAAAGCUAAGGAAGAAUUUGGAGCGUCUUCUAGCUUAGAAGAUGAACUCAGCUGUUCCAUCUGCCUGUCCCUGUACAGGAACCCUGUGUCACUCUGCUGCGGUCACAGCUUCUGCAAGCAGUGUGUCCAGAAGGUGCUCAGUGCCCAGCAGCAGGACAAGGCCCCCUACUCCUGCCCGCUAUGUAGGGUUGAGCUGGGGCCCAUCGUGGAACUGCAAAAUAACUUCCAUCUGUGCAGCAUCGUGGAGACGUAUGUGGCCCACAAAGGGAAGCAGGACGAGGGCUUUGCGACGGAGAAAGGAGAGGCAGUUCCCUGUGACUUCUGCCUUGACAAGCCCCAGCCGGCCGUGAAGACGUGCCUGAUGUGCGACGCCUCCCUGUGCCAGGCCCACCUGGACAAGCACAGCGCCAGGGCCUCCCACAGGGACCACGUCCUGGUGGAGGUGGGCACGGGCGGCUCGAUGGAGGAGAGGAGGUGCCAGGAGCACGGCAAGGUCCUGGAGUACUUCUGCCAGGACGAGAGGCUGUUCAUCUGCGUGCUGUGCUCCAUUGCGGGGUGCCACAAGGGCCACAAGAUCCUCACCCUGAAGGAGGCCCAUGACAUGAACCUGGAUGAACUCUCUCACACUAUGGAUAAGCUGCUGAGAUACAUAAAUUAUUUAUCUAUCGCCCUUGAGGAGCUUCAGCGAAACAAGAAUCAGAUUGAGACCAAUACGAAAACAGCGACUUCUCUGCUGCAAAAGAUGUUUGGAGAGAUAGAGACAGAGAUAAAAAAGAAAGAGAAGAAGAUCCUCAGCGAUAUUCAAUCCAGUGAGAAAUCACAGCUAGCAGAAUGUGCCAAACGGAAGAAAGAGAUGGAAGAAAAGAGAGAUGAGCUUGUACAGCAUCUUCAGUCCUUGCAGAAGAUAAAAGAACAACCAAACACUUUCCAUCUCUUCAAAGAAUUCAGGCUGGUGCUGGACAGCAUUUCGAGUCGCGAGUUCAGGAUCUGUCCAAAGAUGGAUGUGUCAGUGGUGGAGCUGAAUGAGGCCACUAUCAGCAGCUUCCAGACACUAAUGGGAGACUGCUCUUCAUGCCUGGACACAUACCUACAAGGUGUGCAAAGUGAGUGUCCUGCCCUGACCCAACAGCAGUGCGUGGCUGAGUGGCAUAGAGCCUCCUGCCCUUGGUGCCCAGCGCUGGCUCCUUGCCACAAAGGCUCAGAGUGAGAACUCAAGUGAGAUUUGGGGGUUUGAGAGUGCAGUGUGGGCUGAUGGAGAGGGAGGAGGGAAGGGGCAGUAAGGCUGAUUCUGGAUUUGAAAACAAACACUCCAAACCUGUGUACAGCCAGCUUCCACUUCCUCUGUACCAGUUCCCUGCUUCCUCCUGCCUGCUAGGCACUAGUCAGUCCUGAUUUUGAGAAACAUCUUUGUUUGCCCACCCUCCUUCCCACUGAGUUUAUCCCUGCCUAUGGUCCCAAGCGCACAGUGCCAAGUCACAGACUUGAAUGCAUUGCCAACUUUGUAAAACAUUCUUCUCAAUCUUUCCUAGGACUACUCACUAACCAGAUUAAGUGGAACAGUGAGGAUCCAGCUGCUGGUAGCAGUUCAAAUGACAAAUUUGGGAAAAUGAAACGAAAAUGAAGCCAUA